rnacentral:rRNA from 1 species
UACGUAGGGGGCAAGCGUUGUCCGGAAUUAUUGGGCGUAAAGCGCGCGCAGGCGGCCUUUUAAGUCUGAUGUGAAAUCUUGCGGCUCAACCGCAAGCGGUCAUUGGAAACUGGAGGGCUUGAGUACAGAAGAGGAGAGUGGAAUUCCACGUGUAGCGGUGAAAUGCGUAGAGAUGUGGAGGAACACCAGUGGCGAAGGCGACUCUCUGGUCUGUAACUGACGCUGAGGUGCGAAAGCGUGGGUAGCAAACAGG